GACGAACCGAGCGAACGUUAUUCGGAAUCACUGGGCGUUAAAGGGCGCGUAGGCGGGCCAUCAAGUCAGGGGUGAAAGCCCCCAGCUCAACUGGGGAAGUGCCCUUUGAUACUGGUGGUCUCGAGGGGAUAGGGGCAUGCGGAACUCCGGUGGAGCGGUGAAAUGACGUGAUAUCGGAAGGAACGCCGGUGGCGAAGCGACGUGCUGGACCUCUCUGACGCUGAGG
rnacentral:rRNA from 1 species